rnacentral:lncRNA from 1 species
AUGUGCAAGGGGCCUCUGGAAAAUACCUGAGAGCACCAGAGAUAACAGCAGGAACUCUGUAUUUAUCUCUGAGCUGGAAAGAAUUGCUCAUCCAGUUCACUAUCCGGUCCUAGCAGAGCCAACAUCUAAGAUAUAUUCAAGGUCAGACAGAUAGCUAACCUGCCUUUCAGAAAGUUCUUCCUCCUCCUGGCUGUUUCAUUAGUUUGUGAGCUAAGAGCCAUAGGCCAUUUUCAAAUCCCAGGGAGCCUGGAAGAGGCUGGUCUCAGGUCUACCUUCUGACUGUCUCUCUGACCCCACGACACACCGACAUCCAAGAGGCACAGCAGCGCAGGUCAGCUGGCUUUAGCUGGACCACCUUACAGGCUGCAGAGCUGCCUCCUGUAGAAGAGAAGACGAUUCCACCAUCACUCCCAUGAAUCUGGUGCUACACUGUGUGCAUGCUGCAGCUCACCUGUACAUGUCAGCUGAGAGCAUUAUCUGUGGAAAAAUUCUGUGGAAGAGUGAAAUUUUCCAGCAGAACAAAAGAAAUAGAAUCUGCCUCAGUGAACAGAUUUGCUCAGGAACACAAGGUAUUACUCAGGUCUCCAGUGAAUAUAAACUUGGCAUAGAAAGAAGAACUCUUGAGAUUGUUUAAAUGGCACUACCAUGUGACAGAAAGUUACCAUUUAUCCAAAGUUACUCAAAACGAAAAACAUGAUGAGAAUAGCUAAGAAUGCAUGGUCUGAAAUUCACACCAGACUGUAGUGCUGGCAAAGACUUUCUGAGUCAUGAAGUCCAUGUUCUAAUUACUGCAAAAUGCUCCACCACUUUAUAUAAUGUAAUUAAAUUAUAAGCUCCAAUGUAAAACCAUUUCGUAUUUUUUCCCAAGGCUACUCAUUAUGAAUGUCUGUUUCAAAACCUGCUGUAAUGAGUCAAAGCCUUUUUAUUUUGCAAGCUGAAUUUAUCACUGGCUUUCUCAUAUCCAUUUUUUCUAGUUCAAUAGUAUCUUCUAGCCUAAAUAUGCCCCUCCUGAACCAUGCUAAUCCUCACAAUAAAACUUCAAAUAAUAACA